rnacentral:ribozyme from 1 species
UUGUGGGUUUUCUCUGUAAUGGGAUGGGAUCCAAAGCCCUCCGAGGGAUAACAUAGGCUCUCCCAUUAAACUUCUAUUCCGACACGUCCUCGACGUGCAGAGUGGUAACAUGUGCCUCCAUAUAUCCUAGCUUGGGUACACGGCUAGAUCCAACCCCUUGGGCGGAUGGUGGCAUAUGGCGAACCAGGAGGGG